CCUCCCGGUGUGCCCCUGGGGUACCCCCACCUCUCAGCGUCUUUCUGAGCAGGAGGCACUGAUCCCUCACUUCUGAAAACUGGACAGCAGGACCCGAACACGGAUCAUUCAACAAGAAGCCGGUUCAGUUCUGUCAUGCUUCAAAAGCACACGUGUGUGUGUGUGUGUGUGUGUGUGUGUGUGUGUGUGUGCAGUACAUGCCCCGUAUAAAUAAACCAAUUAAUAUUUUUAGCUUGCAGGGAGUUAAAAAUAACCUCUUCUUUGUUUUAGGGUCUAUUUCCAGCCUGCAUCAUCCUGUUAUUGCUGUCGUGUGCUGAUAUAUUUAGCCGUGCGGUUUCUGAAGAGCGUGGAAACUGUGACAAAAGUUGUUUUGCAGAGAAUGCUUCCUGUGUCACUGGCUGCUGAGAAACCGCGGGCCGCACGCGGGCCCUGCGGCAGUGACGCUGCAGAGCGGAAAACCUGCCCGACGCUACGAGGAAGUUUGUGCUUUUCGGAAAAAAAAGCGAGUGUUUACGGCCACGCUGAAAGGAUACGCUUCCCCUCUUGUGGACUUUCCCUUCUCAAACACAACAAACCCUAGACCGGGACCCGACCUGAGAUCGAGCCCCAGAUCGAAAGAUGGAGAUGCAGAAACAGCAGAGCCUGGAGACCACCCUCCCCCCCGAGACCGGCCGACCCCGCUGAUAAACCAGAGGCGUUCCCGAAAAAUCCCAUUCCGAGUCACAGAAGCCGGGGAAAGUGCCCCCAUUCCAGAAUUCCUCCUGCUUCCCGUGCAGUUUCCAGAUCCACUACGAAAGGCACUCUGUCGGUCUGAGCGAGCGAGGGAGGGAGACUGGGCUCCCUGCUGCCCUGUGUUCCUAAUCAGAUACUGUGUGUGCUGUGGACCGACACUCUGGAUGAGAGCUUAGCUGUCUGCCUCCUAUCCGGUUUGAUUUACCCUCUACUGCCUCCUCCAUGACCAGUACAGCCCUGCGUGAACCCCAGGCCAGUACAGCCCUGCGUGAACCCCAGACCAGUACAGCCCUGCAUGAACCCCAGGCCAGUACAGCCCUGCGUGAACCCCAGACCAGUACAGCCCUGCGUGAACCCCAG
rnacentral:lncRNA from 1 species